rnacentral:rRNA from 1 species
CCGAGAUCUACACGUAAGGAGUCGUCGGCAGCGUCAGAUGUGUAUAAGAGACAGGUGAUGGGGAGCGAAAUUUAGUAGCGAAGUAGCUGAUUUCACACUGUCAAGAAAAGUCUCUAUCGAGGUUAAAGGUACCCGUACCGCAAACCGACACAGGUGGGUGAGGAGAGUAUCCUAAGGCCAGCGAGAGAACUGUUGUUAAGGAACUCGGCAAAAUGACCCCGUAACUUAGGGAUAAGGGGUGCCACCAUCAGGUGGCCGCAGAGAAUAGGCCCAAGCGACUGUUUACCAAAAACAUAGGUUUCUGCUAAGUCGCAAGACGAUGUAUAGGAGCUGACGCCUGCCCGGUGCUGGAAGGUUAAGGGGAUCUGUUAGAGCAAUCGAAGCAGUGAACUUAAGCCCCAGUAAACGGCGGCCGUAACUAUAACGGUCCUAAGGUAGCGAAAUUCCUUGUCGGGUAAGUUCCGACCCGCACGAAAGGCGUAACGAUUUGGGCACUGUCUCAACAACAGACUCGGUGAAAUUGUAAUUCCGGUGAAGAUGCCGGAUACCUGCGACAGGACGGAAAGACCCCAUGGAGCUUUACUGUAGCUUGACAUUGGGUCUUGGUACUACAUGUACAGGAUAGGUGGGAGGCUUUGAAACCAGGACGCCAGUUUUGGCGGAGCCAUCCUUGGGAUACCACCCUUGUAGUACUGGGACUCUAACCAUAGGCCAUGAAUCUGGUCUUGGGACACUGUCAGGUGGGCAGUUUGACUGGGGCGGUCGCCUCCCAAAAGGUAACGGAGGCGCUCAAAGGUUCUCUCAGUACGGUCGGAAAUCGUACGUAGAGUGUAAAGGCAAAAGAGAGCUUGAUUGCAAGACAUACAGGUCGAGCAAGGAUGAAAAUCGGACUUAGUGAUCCGGUGGUUCUGCGUGGAAGGGCCAUCGCUCAACGGAUAAAAGCUACCCUGGGGAUAACAGGCUUAUCUCCCCCAAGAGUCCACAUCGACGGGGAGGUUUGGCACCUCGAUGUCGGCUCAUCACAUCCUGGGGCUGUAGUAGGUCCCAAGGGUUGGGCUGUUCGCCCAUUAAAGUGGUACGCGAGCUGGGUUCAGAACGUCGUGAGACAGUUCGGUCCCUAUCCGUCGCAGGCGUAGGAAAUUUGAGAAGACCUGUCCUUAGUACGAGAGGACCGGGAUGGACGUACCUCUGGUGUACCAGUUG